GGCCGACUAGCUCAGUUGGUUAGAGCGUGGUGCUAAUACUUUAAUGUUACGCCAAGGUCGUCGGUUCGACCCCGGCGUUGGCCA